rnacentral:rRNA from 1 species
UUGAACGCUGGCGGCAUGCUUUACACAUGCAAGUCGAACGGCAGCGGGGGCUUCGGCCUGCCGGCGAGUGGCGAACGGGUGAGUAAUGCAUCGGAACGUACCCAGUCGUGGGGGAUAACUACGCGAAAGCGUAGCUAAUACCGCAUACGCCCUGAGGGGGAAAGCGGGGGACCUUCGGGCCUCGCGCGAUUGGAGCGGCUGAUGUCGGAUUAGCUAGUUGGUGGGGUAAAGGCCUACCAAGGCGACGAUCCGUAGCUGGUCUGAGAGGAUGAUCAGCCACACUGGGACUGAGACACGGCCCAGACUCCUACGGGAGGCAGCAGUGGGGAAUUUUGGACAAUGGGCGCAAGCCUGAUCCAGCCAUUCCGCGUGAGUGAAGAAGGCCUUCGGGUUGUAAAGCUCUUUCAGCCGGAACGAAACGGUACGCUCUAACAUAGCGUGCUAAUGACGGUACCGGCAGAAGAAGCACCGGCUAACUACGU